CCCAAAAAUACUAGUGUAAAACCAUUCAAACGGGAAAACCAACGGUCUAAUCUAUAUAAAAUAAAACUAGAGGCUCUAAAGAGCCUGUGUCGCUCACCUUGGUCUAUGUGAAUAUUAAACAAAGGAAGCAAAUGGAUUCAUGACAAAAUUGUGUUUUGGUGAUGGUGAUGUGUUUGUACAUCUUACUUUACUGAACAUUCUUGCUGCUUACAAUUAUCUCUAUCUAUAAUGAACUUGGCCCAGUAGUUUCAGUGGAAAAUGUUAGUUAAAAUUUACAAAUUUUAUGAAAAUUGUUAAAAAUUGACUAUAAAGGACAAUAACUCCUUAGGGGUCAAUUGACCAUUUCCGUCAUGUUGACUUAUUUGUAAAUCUUACUUUGCUUAACAUUAUUGAUGUUUACAGUUUAUCUCUAUCUAUAAUAAUAUUCAAGAUAAUAACCAAAAACAGCAAAAUUUCCUUAAAAUUACCAAUUCAGGGGCAGCAAUCCAACAACGGGUUGUCAGAUUCAUCUGAAAAUUUCAGGGCAGAUAGAUCUUGACCUGAUAAACAAUUUUACCUGAUGUCAGAUUUGCUCUAAAGGCUGCGGUUUCAGAGUUAUAAGCCAAAAUCUACA
rnacentral:lncRNA from 1 species